CUACGGGGUGCAGCAGUGGGGAAUAUUGCACAAUGGGCGCAAGCCUGAUGCAGCCAUGCCGCGUGUAUGAAGAAGGCCUUCGGGUUGUAAAGUACUUUCAGCGGGGAGGAAGGGAGUAAAGUUAAUACCUUUGCUCAUUGACGUUACCCGCAGAAGAAGCACCGGCUAACUCCGUGCCAGCAGCCGCGGUAAUACGGAGGGUGCAAGCGUUAAUCGGAAUUACUGGGCGUAAAGCGCACGCAGGCGGUUUGUUAAGUCAGAUGUGAAAUCCCCGGGCUCAACCUGGGAACUGCAUCUGAACUGGCAAGCUUGAGGCUCGUAGAGGGGGGUAGAAUUGCAGGUGUAGCGGUGAAAUGCGUAGAGAUCUGGAGGAAUACCGGUGGCGAAGGCGGCCCCCUGGACGAAGACUGACGCUCAGGUGCGAAAGCGUGGGGAGCAAACAGGAUUAGAUACCCCAGUAGUC
rnacentral:rRNA from 1 species